ensembl:lncRNA
GCAUGACCCUCCCCCGUUUUCCUCCGUGAAAUGCAGUAAUUGCAUACAUUUCUGCCUGUCUCUAAAGCAUAAAUGGAUUUAUACUAUAGUAUUGGUGCAGUAAUGCAAGAUAUUGGAUUACAUAUGUCAGAAAACGAACUAGUAGCCAGUUGUUGUUGCCCAUGGUGAAAUAAUAUCAAACCCACAGACUCCUGAAGCACAUAUGUCCCACACGAACUCCCGAGUCUAGUUAGCAUUUCGCUACCUAGCUAGGCUGUUUUAUGACAAAACGGAUGAUCUGAAUCAAACACUAACGUUAGUUAGCCAUCCUCGGCGACAAUGUUAUUGUGGCGCAGGAAAUUCAUAUUUGUGUUUUAACUUUAUGUUAACUGUCAUUGAAGUUGAUGCUUACUAUUAGGUUUCAGAUUCGAAGUAAGAUCAAUUGCCCGUUAUGUUUUGUGUUUCGUUAAGGACUCAGAGUGCCCUUCUUACGGAAGGAAAUGUCGACUCCCGGAACACUUAAAACAAAGUAACUGUACUACUGUAGCCAACACUCUUAUUUUCUAAGACAAGUGAAGAAACGCGUAGUUUCCACAAUGGAUCCGGCAAAUAUACUUGUAAUGGAGUCCAGACGGCAGCAUUAACAUUUGCCUUGUAUUUGUAUCCAUUCCAUGCAGUCAUUACUAGAGAGACAACCGGCAGAAUUGUGUCCAGAGCCUCGUCUCCCACCUACACCUUACAAGAACACAAUGCAGAACGGUACCAGUGCAGAGCCGGUUACAUUGGUGCCGUGAUCCGGAUCAACGUGGAUCAUUAUGAAUCGCCGUUGAUCAACACCUUCUUGGUCACCGGGAGUUGCUAUGCUAUAAAUAGCGGUCAGCUCUACCUGUAGCUCUCUCAGUGGGAGGGGCUUAUCAUAAGGGGAGCCUCAACAACAACAUGAUGCUGAUAAGUCGUCUCUCCAGAAGAGUCUCUCCAGAUCAGAACGUCUCAAUGAACACCAGCAAAGACUUAUAGGAAGAAACCUCACCACCGCUGCUCUGACUGUGGGAAAAGUUUUGCUAAACAGAGAAAAUUGGUCAUUUACCAGUGGAUUCAUGCUGGAGGGAAGCCUUAUAGUUGUGAUCAGUGUGGGAAGAGUUUUGCUUGAGAUUUCACCGUGACCAAACACCGACUUAUACACACAGGAGAGAGGCCUUAUAGCUGUAAUCAGUGUGGGAAGAGCUUUAAUCAAUCAGCAGCCCUGAGCACACACCAACGCAUACACACUGGAGAGAGACAGGAGUAAGGUGUAUGUGGAAAGAGCUUUGCUCAAUUGGGGUCACUGAAAAAAACACCAGAAAGCACAAACAUGUUUUCUUUCAUCCCUCCUCUUAGGCACCUGUUCAAUAUAUCUAAAUACAGUUUGAACAGAAAACAUAUUGGAAAGAGAAUAGAGAAUAGAGAAUAGAGAAUAGAGACCAGGAUAUGUUGUUACCCUGUGUCCCAAUACUCAGUGUUAUAGUCCUGGUCCUGAGAAUAGAGACCAGGAUAUGUUGUUACCCUGUGUCCCAAUACUCAGUGUUAUAGUCCUGGUCCUGAGAAUAGAGACCAGGAUAUGUUGUUACCCUGUGUCCCAAUACUCAGUGUUAUAGUCCUGGUCCUGAGAAUAGAGACCAGGAUAUGUUGUUACCCUGUGUCCCAAUACUCAGUGUUAUAGUCCUGGUCCUGAGAAUAGAGACCAGGAUAUGUUGUUACCCUGUGUCCCAAUACUCAGUGUUAUAGUCCUGGUCCUGAGAAUAGAGACCAGGAUAUGUUGUUACCCUGUGUCCCAAUACUCAGUGUUAUAGUCCUGGUCCUGAGAAUAGAGACCAGAAUAUGUUGUUACCCUGUGUCCCAAUACUCAGUGUUAUAGUCCUGGUCCUGAGAAUAGAGACCAGGAUAUGUUGUUACCCUGUGUCCCAAUACUCAGUGUUAUAGUCCUGGUCCUGAGAAUAGAGACCAGGAUAUGUUGUUACCCUGUGUCCCAAUACUCAGUGUUAUAGUCCUGGUCCUGAGAAUAGAGACCAGGAUAUGUUGUUACCCUGUGUCCCAAUACUCAGUGUUAUAGUCCUGGUCCUGAGAAUAGAGACCAGGAUAUGUUGUUACCCUGUGUCCCAAUACUCAGUGUUAUAGUCCUGGUACUGAGAAUAGAGACCAGGAUAUGUUGUUACCCUGUGUCCCAAUACUCAGUGUUAUAGUCCUGGUCCUGAGAAUAGAGACCAGGAUAUGUUGUUACCCUGUGUCCCAAUACUCAGUGUUAUAGUCCUGGUCCUGAGAAUAGAGACCAGGAUAUGUUGUUACCCUGUGUCCCAAUACUCAGUGUUAUAGUCCUGGUCCUGAGAAUAGAGACCAGGAUAUGUUGUUACCCUGUGUCCCAAUACUCAGUGUUAUAGUCCUGGUCCUGAGAAUAGAGACCAGGAUAUGUUGUUACCCUGUGUCCCAAUACUCAGUGUUAUAGUCCUGGUCCUGAGAAUAGAGACCAGGAUAUGUUGUUACCCUGUGUCCCAAUACUCAGUGUUAUAGUCCUGGUCCUGAGAAUAGAGACCAGGAUAUGUUGUUACCCUGUGUCCCAAUACUCAGUGUUAUAGUCCUGGUCCUGAGAAUAGAGACCAGGAUAUGUUGUUACCCUGUGUCCCAAUACUCAGUGUUAUAGUCCUGGUCCUGAGAAUAGAGACCAGGAUAUGUUGUUACCCUGUGUCCCAAUACUCAGUGUUAUAGUCCUGGUACUGAGAAUAGAGACCAGGAUAUGUUGUUACCCUGUGUCCCAAUACUCAGUGUUAUAGUCCUGGUCCUGAGAAUAGAGACCAGGAUAUGUUGUUACCCUGUGUCCCAAUACUCAGUGUUAUAGUCCUGGUCCUGAGAAUAGAGACCAGGAUAUGUUGUUACCCUGUGUCCCAAUACUCAGUGUUAUAGUCCUGGUCCUGAGAAUAGAGACCAGGAUAUGUUGUUACCCUGUGUCCCAAUACUCAGUGUUAUAGUCCUGGUCCUGAGAAUAGAGACCAGGAUAUGUUGUUACCCUGUGUCCCAAUACUCAGUGUUAUAGUCCUGGUCCUGAGAAUAGAGACCAGGAUAUGUUGUUACCCUGUGUCCCAAUACUCAGUGUUAUAGUCCUGGUCCUGAGAAUAGAGACCAGGAUAUGUUGUUACCCUGUGUCCCAAUACUCAGUGUUGUAGUCCUGGUCCUGAGAAUAGAGACCAGGAUAUGUUGUUACCCUGUGUCCCAAUACUCAGUGUUGUGGUCAUGGUCCUGAGAAUAGAGACCAGGAUAUGUUGUUACCCUGUGUCCCAAUACUCAGUGUUAUAGUCAUGGUCCUGAGAAUAGAGACCAGGAUAUGUUGUUACCCUGUGUCCCAAUACUCAGUGUUGUAGUCAUGGUCCUGAGAAUAGAGACCAGGAUAUGUUGUUACCCUGUGUCCCAAUACUCAUUGUUAUAGUCCUGGUCCUGAGAAUAGAGACCAGGAUAUGUUGUUGGCCUGGAUCCCAAUACUCAAUGUUAUAGUCCUGGUCCUGAGAAUAAAACAGGUUUAAAACAACAACAGAGAAACACGUGUCUUACAGUGCUCCACAUCUGUUAUGAUAGAGACUUUUUCCUGCUUAAUGGAAGUAUCAGGUGUAGUUUUUCACCAGUUAUAAAGUGUGUUUGUUGUCUCUCUUUAUGAUUCCAGGCUGCAUGGAGGGAGAUGCAACAACAGCCUUGAGAACAUCUGGACUCAAAUUGAACUCUGUCCCAAGUGGCUGCCAGGUAAAAGCAGACGAUAGCAGACAACAGGAUUCUUAGUGAAAGGGGUGUUGUUGAACAUUUUCUUGACUUUACUCGACUUUUAUUGAUCACGUAAAAUGUUAUCCAGGAACUUUCUGAAGUAAUACUAGGCUACAUGAGACGUUUAUUUGUUCUAACUUACGUUUGGAUAUUUAAAUAGAUGUUUGAUUGCUCUGGUCUAGGGGCGCAUCAGUUGCAGUCUUGAGAAUCGAAUUUUCUCUCGGCAACUCAUUACUAGCUGUCAUUAUCCGAACACUGCAACAAAGUUGUCAAACUGUACCCUACAACAUUUCAUGCCAUACAAAGAAACAAUGGCUUCCGCAAUGGAUCAGGUGAAUCUGGUUUUAACAUAUGCCCGCUGUGUUGUAUAAAAUGUAUAGGACUAGUUUUCAUCACCUUUUAUCCUCCACAUUCCCGUGUUCGGUUUAAACUGCUGGACAAAAAUAAACAUGAUUGUAAAA